AUUGAACGCUGGCGGCAGGCCUAACACAUGCAAGUCGAGCGGUAGAGAGAAGCUUGCUUCUCUUGAGAGCGGCGGACGGGUGAGUAAUGCCUAGGAAUCUGCCUGGUAGUGGGGGAUAACGUUCGGAAACGGACGCUAAUACCGCAUACGUCCUACGGGAGAAAGCAGGGGACCUUCGGGCCUUGCGCUAUCAGAUGAGCCUAGGUCGGAUUAGCUAGUUGGUGGGGUAAUGGCUCACCAAGGCGACGAUCCGUAACUGGUCUGAGAGGAUGAUCAGUCACACUGGAACUGAGACACGGUCCAGACUCCUACGGGGGGCAGCAGUGGGGAAUAUUGGACAAUGGGCGAAAGCCUGAUCCAGCCAUGCCGCGUGUGUGAAGAAGGUCUUCGGAUUGUAAAGCACUUUAAGUUGGGAGGAAGGGUUGUAGAUUAAUACUCUGCAAUUUUGACGUUACCGACAGAAUAAGCACCGGCUAACUCUGUGCCAGCAGCCGCGGUAAUACAGAGGGUGCAAGCGUUAAUCGGAAUUACUGGGCGUAAAGCGCGCGUAGGUGGUUUGUUAAGUUGGAUGUGAAAUCCCCGGGCUCAACCUGGGAACUGCAUUCAAAACUGACUGACUAGAGUAUGGUAGAGGGUGGUGGAAUUUCCUGUGUAGCGGUGAAAUGCGUAGAUAUAGGAAGGAACACCAGUGGCGAAGGCGACCACCUGGACUAAUACUGACACUGAGGUGCGAAAGCGUGGGGAGCAAACAGGAUUAGAUACCCUGGUAGUCCACGCCGUAAACGAUGUCAACUAGCCGUUGGAAGCCUUGAGCUUUUAGUGGCGCAGCUAACGCAUUAAGUUGACCGCCUGGGGAGUACGGCCGCAAGGUUAAAACUCAAAUGAAUUGACGGGGGCCCGCACAAGCGGUGGAGCAUGUGGUUUAAUUCGAAGCAACGCGAAGAACCUUACCAGGCCUUGACAUCCAAUGAACUUUCCAGAGAUGGAUUGGUGCCUUCGGGAACAUUGAGACAGGUGCUGCAUGGCUGUCGUCAGCUCGUGUCGCGAGAUGUUGGGUUAAGUCCCGUAACGAGCGCAACCCUUGUCCUUAGUUACCAGCACGUAAUGGUGGGCACUCUAAGGAGACUGCCGGUGACAAACCGGAGGAAGGUGGGGAUGACGUCAAGUCAUCAUGGCCCUUACGGCCUGGGCUACACACGUGCUACAAUGGUCGGUACAGAGGGUUGCCAAGCCGCGAGGUGGAGCUAAUCCCAUAAAACCGAUCGUAGUCCGGAUCGCAGUCUGCAACUCGACUGCGUGAAGUCGGAAUCGCUAGUAAUCGCGAAUCAGAAUGUCGCGGUGAAUACGUUCCCGGGCCU
rnacentral:rRNA from 1 species